rnacentral:tRNA from 1 species
UCCCCGGUAGCUCAAUCGGUAGAGCAAGCGGCUGUUAACCGCUGGGUUGCAGGUUCGAGUCCUGCCCGGGGAG